UACGUAGGCAGCAAGCGUUGUUCGGAGUUACUGGGCGUAAAGGGUGUGUAGGCGGUUCCUUAAGUUUGCUGUGAAAUCUCCCGGCUUUAACCGGGAGGGUGCGGUGAAUACUGAGGGACUAGAGUACGGGAGAGGAAAGUGGAAUUCCUGGUGUAGCGGUGAAAUGCGUAGAUAUCAGGAGGAACACCGGUGGUGUAGACGGCUUUCUGGACCGUAACUGACGCUGAGACACGAAAGCGUGGGUAGCAAACAGG
rnacentral:rRNA from 1 species